CAUGUCUUUUUGAUAUUAAUAUAAGGUCUAGUCUGCUCCAUGAUGUGUUAAAUAGCUGCAGUAUUUAUGACUGUACUAAGGUAGCAUAGUAAAUAGUCUUUUAAUUAGAGACUAGAAUGAAAGAUUGGACGAGGGAGAUACUUUCUUUAUUUAAAUAAAUUUUAACUUAACUUUUCAGUAAGAAGGCUGAAAUUUUUUAAAAAGACAAGAAGACCCUAUAGAGUUUUAUUAUUUAUUAUAAUAUAUUUAGUUUAGUAUGUAUUAAUUUAUAUUGUAUUAAUUAAUUUGGUUGGGGCGAUUUUUAAAUUGGUUAAACUUUUUUAAUUAAUGAUCACUAAUUUUUGAUUUAUUUAUCUAGAUUUUUACAAUUAAAAUAAAUUACCUUAGGGAUAACAGCGUAAUUUAUUUUUGAAGUUCUUAUUUAAAAAUAUGUUUGCGACCUCGAUGUUGGAUUAAAAUAAAUUAUUAGUGUAGAAGCUAAUUAAUUAAGUCUGUUCGACUUUUAAAAUUUUACAUGAUCUGAGU
rnacentral:rRNA from 1 species